UACGUAGGGGGCAAGCGUUGUCCGGAAUCAUUGGGCGUAAAGAGCGUGUAGGCGGCCAGAAAAGUCCGCUGUGAAAACUCGAGGCUCAACUUCGAGCUGUCGGUGGAAACUUUCUGGCUAGAGUCCGGAAGAGGAGAAUGGAAUUCCUGGUGUAGCGGCGAAAUGCGCAGAUAUCAGGAAGAACACCCGUGGCGAAGGCGGUUCUCUGGGACGGUACUGACGCUGAGACGCGAAAGCGUGGGGAGCGAACAGG
rnacentral:rRNA from 1 species